CCUACGGGAGGCAGCAGUGAGGAAUAUUGGUCAAUGGGCGGAAGCCUGAACCAGCCAAGUAGCGUGCGGGAUGAAGGCCCUACGGGUCGUAAACCGCUUUUGCACGGGGAUAACACCCUCCACGUGUGGAGGUCUGCAGGUACCGUGCGAAUAAGGGCCGGCUAAUGCCGUGCCAGCAGCCGCGGUAAGACGGAAGGCCCGAGCGUUAUCCGGAUGCAUUGGGCUUAAAGGGAGCGUCGGCGGGCGUUCAAGUCAGCUGGUAAAUCGCGCGGCUCAACCGCGCCCCGCAGUUGAAACUGGUCGCCUUGCGUUCACCACAGGCAGGCGGACUUCGUGGUGUAGCGGUG
rnacentral:rRNA from 1 species